UCGCUUGUGAGCCGGGCUGGGUUCCCCUUCAAACAUUGGCGAGAGUAGGCUGAGCGUUUCUGAACCUUUGCAGAAGUUAGACUCGACGAUUCUCCGAAAAGAUAUCCUUACGUGAAGCCUACCGUUGAAGUGAAAGAUUCUGUUCCUAAUAAAACAGUAGAAGUCAAGGACAAACAAACAUCC